rnacentral:misc_RNA from 1 species
CAUCAUGUGCCAAGAGCACCUUGGUGGUUCCUGUAUUGCCUACCAUGGAAAUGGUAUUCGAUUGCCUUGGAAUAUUUGUUCCAUCCAGGUCUCCCUUACGGAGAUGAUGGUGGAUUCGUGCAAAUGCCAUCCGUUCCACUUUAGUUUUGUCUUGUCUUGUCAGACUACUGUGGUAUGUGAUGCAAUUGUUGUUCUUUUGGAUGCGGUGAGUGCAUGCAAUGAAUGUGGCUUCAAUUGUCCCGUUUAGUAAUAAAUAUUCGGUUGCCUUAGAAUGACUUGCCUUGGUGCUUGUUGUGUUUUCCAUUUAGGAAGACAAUGCUUGCACCUCGAGCGUGGUCAUGAAUGGGUGCUA